rnacentral:piRNA from 1 species
UGAAACCUGACCUCAUUGAUGUACGUGCUC